UACUUACCUGGCUAAUUUGGUGAACUAGAUUUUGAUUAGAUCACUAAGUGAUUCGAGUUAGCUCAUACCAUUAAGAUUGAUCAGCAUGACUGAUCUAGGUGCCAGUUCAAUCAGCAUAACUUAACCCGAUUUAAUGACUUGGUGAAGUUAGUGGGAGGAUUGUGGUCUAUUGAUUGAUCUUUUUUUCUCUCUUCUUCUCUAAACUAAUU
rnacentral:lncRNA from 1 species